UGAGAGGUUGGGUAAAGUCCGGCAACGAGCGCAACCCUUGCCCAUAGUUACAAGGGGAUAAUCCGGGGGACUCUAGGGGGACACCUGGUUCCAAACGGAAGGAAGGGGGGGAGGAGGUCAAGUAAUAACCGUCCUUAGGUGUAGGCCUACACACGUCAUCCAAUGGCAGUUCCAGAGGGCAGCGAAAGGGCAACCGGGAAUCAAUCCAAAAAGCCUGUCUCAGUUCGGAUUGUGGUCUGCAACUCGACCGCAUGAAGUUGGAAUCGAUAGUAAUCGUGGAUCAGCGACGCCGCGGUGAAUACGUUCCCGGGCCUU
rnacentral:rRNA from 1 species